rnacentral:rRNA from 1 species
AGAGACAGCAGUCGCCACGGGAAUACAGAGGGUGCAAGCGUUAAUCGGAAUUACUGGGCGUAAAGCGCGCGUAGGUGGUUUGUUAAGUUGGAUGUGAAAUCCCCGGGCUCAACCUGGGAACUGCAUCCAAAACUGGCAAGCUAGAGUAUGGUAGAGGGUGGUGGAAUUUCCUGUGUAGCGGUGAAAUGCGUAGAUAUAGGAAGGAACACCAGUGGCGAAGGCGACCACCUGGACUGAUACUGACACUGAGGUGCGAAAGCGUGGGGAGCAAACAGGAUUAGAUACCCCUGUAGUCCCUGUCUCUUAUAC